rnacentral:rRNA from 1 species
GACGAACGCUGGCGGCGUGCUUAACACAUGCAAGUCGAACGGUGAAGCGCCUUCCUUUUUGGUGGGUGUGGAUGAGUGGCGAACGGGUGAGUAACACGUGAGUAACCUGCCCCCUUCUUCUGGAUAACCGCAUGAAAGUGUGGCUAAUACGGGAUAUUCUGGGCCUGUCGCAUGAUGGGUCUGGGAAAGAUAUUGUUUCGGUGGGGGAUGGGCUCGCGGCCUAUCAGCUUGUUGGUGGGGUGAUGGCCUACCAAGGCGGUGACGGGUAGCCGGCCUGAGAGGGUGGACGGUCACACUGGGACUGAGACACGGCCCAGACUCCUACGGGGGGCAGCAGUGGGGAAUAUUGCACAAUGGGCGCAAGCCUGAUGCAGCGACGCCGCGUGAGGGAUGGAGGCCUUCGGGUUGUGAACCUCUUUCGCCAGUGAAGCAGGCCUGCCUCGUUUGUGGGUGGGUUGACGGUAGCUGGAGAAGAAGCGCCGGCUAACUACGUG